rnacentral:lncRNA from 1 species
GAAAAAUAUCCAAACAACAAAUCAAUUGUUGUGAGUUCGUCGUUCUUUUUUAAUUUUCUUUGAAGCUUAAAUGAUUAGUGCAGGCAAUUUGCACUUGGAGUAUUCACGAUAAUUUUCUUUAUAAUUUCAGGUUUUCCUUUUGGGAAUAAAUAAUAAUAUAUAUUGGAAAAGCUAGAGGAGAUAAGUGAAGUUCAUGAGUGAUGAGGUAACUCUAUGCAAUCCAAGAUAUUGUUUAUAUCUAAUUCUUCUUCUAGAGAAAUUUCCUAACGUCAUGAUAAAAAUAAAGAAAAAAUUCCUUCUGUGCAAAAGGCAGAGAAACAAGAGUAGGAAUAUGAGCAUAAAUGGUAGACUACAAUAAGAAUUUGGUAAUCCAUCUAUGAGAAGCAUAGUGUUAUAUAGUGUUUAUUUUUUACUGCAAUACUGAAAUGAUUUGCCAUACUAUUUUUAUAGGCUUGAGGUGCUGAUGAUGAGUCUGACAAGUCAAAGUCUGAGAUUAAUGGUGAUGAGGACGAUGAGAGCAGUGGAGACGUUAGUUGGGAUUAAGCUAUACAACUUUUUUGUACUUAAAACUUGGAAACUAUGUUGACUUAUUAUUUUGUUUUAAUUAAUGUAGGAGGAAGACAAUGAGUAAGCGCUAUCACAUAAAACUGGAUUUUGGAUUCAAGGUGAGAGCUAACAAACAAUCUUCCUUCAUUAAUUUGUGUUUGGGCUAUUUUGUAAAAUGCUUGAAUUCAAAGUGAUUUAAUUGAAUUGGUAAAUUAGGAUUUCAUGAAGAAUUAUCCUGUAAAAAUUGGGCUUUAUGUAAAUUUUAUUGAAAGUAAUUAUAGUUAAUACGAUUUUCCUCCUUUUUCUUCUGUUGUGAAAGUUGCUAAGGUGUUAGUUUUUCUUUUUCACCAAGGGGACAAGCGUCUCUUCCCUUCCAUUAACUCGAGCAAAAAAGAGAGGAAACAUAUGCCCUGAUUUUCCCUUUUGGUAACGAAUACCGGGGAAUUCCCCUUUUUCGCCUUCUCCUGCCUCUUACUAUGCUUGAUAUACAUACUUAUUUUGAAAGAACGGGUGAAGGAAGAGGAGGUUGGGUGUUUUUUGACCCAUGAUAAAUAUUUAAUGUGUUACAGCAAGCAGCUCAUAUAUUUUUAAAUCAUUAAAGCUCAUUCCUGUUAAAAAUGUUAGAGAGAAAAACAUUAAUUUAUUCAUAUCUUCAAAACACCUCUUAUGGUACAUGUAGAUUUAAUUUUUCUAUAGAAUGACAUGUAUAAUUUUGACGAGGAUGAUAUUAUUGUUCUGCGGAUUUCCAUCUGGUUGUACAUUACCAAUACAGGUCUAGGCUUAGAGUUCGAUUAGAGACUCGGAGCUCAGUUAUCUACUAGGUCGAGAAAAUUGUUGAUCAGGUCAAUCGCUCUAAGCUUGUGGUUGACUACUUACGUGGCCCAUUUUGUUUAUAUUUCGUUGCAAGCUCCAAUUCAUACAUAGUUUUUGUUAUUGCAGGAGUUAAGAGGAAGAGGACAAACCAAACGAUCAAGGAUUUAGCAAUGCAUUUUUGAAGUGAAGUCCAGGAAACUAUAUUAGUUAAGUGAAGCCAGCAUUCUGCUAAAGCGAACAAAAAGAUUAUGACGAUUGAGGAUGAUCAAAGUCACAUUUCACUUAUUAUCCUUCGUUCCCAUCUCUUUUUGAGUAAUGAUCAUUUUUAGUAUCUUGUGGCUGCCCAACAUUUCAAACAUUCCAAAAACAUUGUAGAUGUAAAUUCUACAUUAUGCGAGGAAUUUCCCUUUUCUUUUCUUUCCUUUUCGAAAUGGAGAAUCAAGUAAGCUGUCAUUUCCAUUUGCAAUAGUGUAGGCUCUUACUGUGAUGUGCUGUUGCACAUGUUCACGUAUGUGUGCACAUAUUUACGUAUAUAUAUGUUUGUGCUAGACGUAUGAUACCAAAAAAAAAAAAUAAUGUUAUUUGUAAGCAGUGCUUACCUAUCAUAGGUAGAAGUAAGAUAAUUGUCACAUUUUCCUAUAAAUUUGGAGUGAUGAUAUUUGUAAACAGUGCACUACAAACAACCUAUGCUUACCUAGUUGCUG